rnacentral:tRNA from 1 species
GCCUUCGUGGUGUAGUGGUCAACACGCUCAACGCUAACCGAGAGGUCCGCGGUUCGACUCCCGGUAAAGGCG